rnacentral:rRNA from 1 species
GACGAAGGAUGCAAGCGUUAUCCGGAUUCAUUGGGUUUAAAGGGCGCGUAGGUGGCCUUUUAAGUCAGUGGUGAAAUCUCUGGGCUUAACCCAGAAAUUGCCAUUGAUACUGUAGGGCUUGAGUAUAGAUGCCGUUGGCGGAAUAUGACAUGUAGUGGUGAAAUACAUAGAGAUGUCAUAGAACACCGAUUGCGAAGGCAGCUAACGAAACUAUAACUGACACUGAGGCUCGAAAGUGUGGGGAUCAAACAGG